UACGUAGGGGGCAAGCGUUGUCCGGAAUCAUUGGGCGUAAAGCGCGUGUAGGCGGCUCGGUAAGUCUGCUGUGAAAGUCCAGGGCUCAACCCUGGGAUGCCGGUGGAUACUGUCGAGCUCGAGUACGGAAGAGGCGAGUGGAAUUCCUGGUGUAGCGGUGAAAUGCGCAGAUAUCAGGAGGAACACCUAUUGCGAAGGCAGCUCGCUGGGACGUAACUGACGCUGAGACGCGAAAGCGUGGGGAGCAAACAGG
rnacentral:rRNA from 1 species